rnacentral:rRNA from 1 species
AUGAUCUGGCAUGUACAGAAUGAAAACUUCAUUCUCGAUUCUACGAGAAUUUUUAUGAAAGCGUUUCAUUUGCUUCUCUUCAAUGGAAGUUUCAUUUUCCCAGAAUGUAUCCUAAUUUUUGGCCUAAUUCUUCUUCUGAUGAUCGAUUCAACCUCUGAUCAAAAAGAUAGACCUUGGUUCUAUUUCAUCUCUUCAACAAGUUUAGUAAUAAGCAUAACGGCCCUAUUGUUCCGAUGGAGAGAAGAACCUAUAAUUAGCUUUUCGGGAAAUUUCCAAACGAAGUUGCUGUAA